rnacentral:lncRNA from 1 species
GUAACAAACCCAAUAACAAAGACCACUCAAUUCAAAUUCAAACAACCAACAAGUCUAUUUCACUAAAUCGUAAUUGAAAUUACAAAGGAAUUUAAGAACUAAAUGGAAAUGGAAGAACACAAGUACAAGAAAGGGAUGAGAAGAAGAACUCAUAGAAAGGGGAUGAGAGGACUUGGAUAUUUUCUCAACAAUUUGCAUAAUCCUAUUUUGCUCUCCCAAGUCUCUAUUUAUCAACCCGGAUCCCACACAUAGCCACUUAAUCC